GUGAGACAGAGGCAAAACAAAGGGAGAGAGAGAGAGAGAGAGAGAGAGAGAGAGAGAGAGAGAGAGAGAGGACGUUUGAGCUCAAUUUCAAAGCUAAAUUCUACAUAUUCUUAUGGACAGAAAUUACAUGGAGUGUGAUAGAGAGGGUUACAGUAUUUUAGAGUCUGAAAGAGAGGUUUACGGUGUUGUAGAUUCCGAUAGAGAGGUUUACAGUGUUUUAGAGUGUGAUAGAGAGGUUUACAGUGUUGUAGAGUCCGAUAGAGAGGUUUACAGUGUUGUAGAGUCCGAUAGAGAGGUUUACGGUGUUGUAGAGUCCGAUAGAGAGGUUUACGGUGUUGUAGAUUCCGAUAGAGAGGUUUACGGUGUUUUAGAGUCCGAUAGAGAGGUUUACGGUGUUUUAGAGUCCGAUAGAGAGGUUUACGGUGUUUUACAGUCCGAUAGAGAGGUUUACGGUGUUUUAGAGUCCGAUAGAGAGGUUUACGGUGUUGUAGAGUCCGAUAGAGAGGUUUACGGUGUUGUAGAAUGGGAAGGAGAGGUUAGGUGAAUCUGAGAUAGCUGUGACCAAAAUUAAGGAAUGAACAAACAAGCAGACAAGGGGAGAUUAGACCAAAAUAGAAAGUACAGCAAAAGAGAGGCAUGUCAUUGAUGCCAUAACUGUUGCGACACCAAGCAGAAUAUUUACCCAUAUAUUUUAUGUAUAAGGGAGAAAUAGGAUACUGUGUCAUUUAAUUACUUUACAUUUGGCUAAUAUCAUUCAUGUAACACUUAAUAACCAGUUCAACUUUCUUUCUUUCUUUCUUUCUUUCUUUGUGCUUCUUUGUUCAUGACACAACAAUUUCUACACUACAGUUUUUGGUGGAUGUUCUUACACACAAAUUCAAUAUAUAAACAGUUAGAUGGAAAAAAAAAACAAAUCACAAAAUAGUGUUCACUUUUUCCCUUCUUCAUCUAGAAGGCCUGGUGAUACGUUUUUUUUUUUCUUCUUCAGAAAAGCACAUUACGGUGAGGCGCAUUAUUUCCUGAAGAACGAGAAGAACGCGGUGCAUAAUGGAAUCCCAAAAAGCUUUUUUGCGUCUUUUCUUUUUGUCUUCAUUGUCUUUCGUUCCUUUUUAUUCCUCUCCGCGCUAUCGAUGUAAAGUCCUUUGAGCUGAAACGAAGGGCAUUCAUGCACCCUGAAAAGGGCUUUUAAAGUCGAGUGCGACUCGAACAAAAGCACGAAGGAGCGGCUUGCUAAAGAACCCAGAGUGACUCAGUGUUUAUAAAAGCGCGUAUGUGUGUGUGUGUGUG
ensembl:lncRNA